UGGGGAAUAUUGCACAAUGGGCGCAAGCCUGAUGCAGCCAUGCCGCGUGUGUGAAGAAGGCCUUCGGGUUGUAAAGCACUUUCAGCGAGGAGGAAGGUGGUGGACUUAAUACGUUCAUCAAUUGACGUUACUCGCAGAAGAAGCACCGGCUAACUCCGUGCCAGCAGCCGCGGUAAUACGGAGGGUGCAAGCGUUAAUCGGAAUUACUGGGCGUAAAGCGCACGCAGGCGGUUUGUUAAGUCAGAUGUGAAAUCCCCGGGCUCAACCUGGGAACUGCAUUUGAAACUGGCAAGCUAGAGUCUCGUAGAGGGGGGUAGAAUUCCAGGUGUAGCGGUGAAAUGCGUAGAGAUCUGGAGGAAUACCGGUGGCGAAGGCGGCCCCCCUGGACGAAGACUGACGCUCAGGUGCGAAAGCGUGGGGCAGCAAACAGGAUUAGAUACCCUGGUAGUCCAGCGCUGUAAAACCGAUGUCGAUUUGGAGGUUGUGCCCUUGAGGCGUGGCUUCCGGAGCUAACG
rnacentral:rRNA from 1 species